UUGAUAUGAAAAUAGUAAAUAAUGUAAAAUUAUUCUUACAAACUAGAAAAUAAGGACUAAAACUAAAAGUAAACCCAAUAAUAUAUAUUUUUUUGUCUUACUUAAGGUAUCUAGACCAUAUUUUACAAGAACUGUUUUAUGAAGAACAGUCGCCAUAAAUUUGGCAAUUAUCUUUCUUAUUAGUUCAGAAACACCUAUUGUUUUUUUUUAUAAUUUAGAAAUCAAGUAAACAGAAUUAUUAGAUAGGUCUGAAUUAAAGUUAUAACAAAUGGUUUAAUUUGAUGUUUUAUUUACCAAAAAAAUAAAUAUUUUACCACUUCUCUUGUCAAGGUCUAGAUACCUCGAUAUACACAUCAAAAGAAAAUGUUACACAGAUUACAAUUAGUAAUGAAUUGAUAAAAAAUAUCAAAAGUCUCACAGUGGAUGAAUUCUUUGUAUAGAUUUAGCAAUGAAAUAGCCAAACUGGUUUGAUUAAGCAAUGAAUUAUAUGCAUCAGUGGAAAAUAACAUGAUAUGUCAUCAGUUUUACUUUCUUUCACAACUUAGAUUGAAUUUAAUAUUAAAGAAUGCGAUUAUAUAUAUUUUUACACAUUUAUAUUUGCGUAAAUGAUUUACCAAUCAAUAUUAAAAUUAAUAAUCAUAAAAAAGAUCUCGACUAGGUAUAUAAUUGCUGCUCCUCUAUAUAUCACAGACAAAUUACCAUUUUUUCUAAAUUGUAAGGUAUCGGUAUCACAACCAAUUGAAUUCAUCAAACCUUAUCAUUUUAAAUUUUAAAUCAGUUCAAUAAGAAACAAAGUAUAGAUCUUCAAAACAAAAGGAGUAGGUCCGGUAAGGGCCGAUUUUGGCCUCAAAUUUCAGGUUCAUCUAAUGAAAGUUUUUGGACACUUUCUAAACACUUAAGUGUCUAUUUCAAUUGAUUUGAUUAGUUUAUAUGAAAGAUUUUAACUGAUUUACGCAUUAAAAACCCUCUGAUUCAAGCUUAAAUAUGAAAAAUCUAUCAAAUAUUAAAAAAAACGUCACUUUUCAGAUGGUUUUUGACAAAAAGUGGCCGCCGCAUCCGUGUUCAUCCUCAACCUUAAUAUAUGUUUUGUAUUAUCAUCAAAUACAACUUACAUUUCAAUAUUAUGAAUGAACACAAAUGUGGUCACUUCCAUUUUAGACGAAAACCGUCUCCAAAAUGCUAAAAAAGUGAAGAUUUCAGUAAUUUAGCAUGACUUAUUGAUGCUAGAAUGUGAUGUUUGUGCAUUGUAUUGUCAAAAACAGCUCAUAUUUAUGAAGCAGAAGCAUUUUACUUUCAAAAUAUAGCUUAAAGAUUUAAUUUUCACAAUUUUCUGAACCUGCUAUAUUUUGGGGCCAAAAAGGGGUCCUUUGAGAUCAAUAUGAGAACAAGUAGUCAAGUUUUAUAUUAAACUAAGCAGAGUUAUAAUUACAACCCUUGCACCUAUAAUCUAUAUUAUGAUGUAUCAUGAAAAAUAUUUUUUCAUAGAAAUUCCAGUUUUAAAAAAUAUCCCUCUAAAAUAAAUACCCAUACUGUAUUGUGCAACCUUAAAAGAUAAAUAUUAAAUGGUCUUGACAUAAAAUAUUGAGAUUCUUAUAGAAUAUUUGAACAGCUGUGUUGAUGAACAUAUACAUUCAAAAAUAUAAACUCUACUGAUAUAACAUUUUUUGAAAUUACAAGAUGAUAACUGAAGUCUCAGACACAAAUUCUUUUAUCCCUUAACUGUAAAACAUAUAAAAUAUCUAACGAAAAUUCUGCAUUUUAUACAAUCCAGGCAAUGAGAAAAAAAAAAACAACACAAACAAUCAAACAAAAUGCAAACUAAUAUCAAAUCUUUUUUUUACAAUUUAACAAAUUGUGCUGUUUUUUUCAACAAAAAUUUUUGUACGACUUAGGAUCAAAUCCAGUCGAUCUAAAUAUGUCAAAAUUGCAAUAUAUAUAAUUUUCUAAACUUUAAAUUUAUGUUAACCUGAAAAACUGAAUAAAUUUAUGUUAAGCUGUUGGAGUUAUCAUUCUGUUAUUAUCAGCUUUACCUUGCAAGUUAGAAAUUAAAAUAAUCUGACACAAGGCUGCUUGUAAUUAUAUUAAAAGACAAUGUUUCAAAAGUCUAUUGUGAAAAAGAUUCAAAUUUUGCUAAUUCAUAUGAUGCUUAAUACCAAAUAUCAAGC
rnacentral:lncRNA from 1 species